GACGAACGCUGGCGGCGUGCCUAAUACAUGCAAGUCGAGCGAAGUUUUUCUGGUGCUUGCACUAGAAAAACUUAGCGGCGAACGGGUGAGUAACACGUAAAGAACCUGCCUUAUAGACUGGGACAACUAUUGGAAACGAUAGCUAAUACCGGAUAACAGCAUUAACUGCAUGGUUGAUGUUUAAAAGUUGGUUUUGCUAACACUAUGAAAUGGCUAUGCGGUGCAUUAGCUAGUUGGUGGGGUAAAGGCCUACCAAGGCGACGAUGCAUAGCCGACCUGAGAGGGUGAUCGGCCACACUGGGACUGAGACACGGCCCAGACUCCUACGGGAGGCAGCAGUAGGGAAUCUUCCGCAAUGGGCGAAAGCCUGACGGAGCAACGCCGCGUGAGUGAAGAAGGAUUUCGGUUCGUAAAGCUCUGUUGUUAGGGAAGAAUGAUUGUGUAGUAACUAUACACAGUAGAGACGGUACCUAACCAGAAAGCCACGGCUAACUACGUGCCAGCAGCCGCGGUAAUACGUAGGUGGCAAGCGUUGUCCGGAAUUAUUGGGCGUAAAGCGCGCGCAGGUGGUUUAAUAAGUCUGACGUGAAAGCCCACGGCUCAACCGUGGAGGGUCAUUGGAAACUGUUAAACUUGAGUGCAGGAGAGAAAAGUGGAAUUCCUAGUGUAGCGGUGAAAUGCGUAGAGAUUAGGAGGAACACCAGUGGCGAAGGCGGCUUUUUGGCCUGUAACUGACACUGAGGCGCGAAAGCGUGGGGAGCAAACAGG
rnacentral:rRNA from 1 species